GGGGAGAUACUCAAGCGGCCAACGAGGGCAGACUGUAAAUCUGCUGGUGUACACCUUCGCAGGUUCGAAUCCUGCUCUCCCCA
rnacentral:tRNA from 1 species